rnacentral:pre_miRNA from 1 species
AAAAAUUUUAUUCGUGGUUUUUCUGUUUAAUAUUUGAUCGUAUGUCUUAUUUGAAUUUUUUUUAUAAUUAAUAUUUUUAUUGUUAUUAGAUGAUAAAGUACAAAAAUACUGUAUACAUGACUUAUUUUCUAUUUUUUUAUAAAUUCUUCGAAUAAGACGAACGGUCACGUUGGAUAUACAAAUCC